rnacentral:ncRNA from 1 species
AAAAAAUCGAAGAAUGAAAAGAGUAAAUAUCAAACAAGAAUGAAGCGAUCUAAGGUUGGUGUAAGCUUAGACUUAAUUGGUAUUGAACGCCUUCAGGAGAAUUACUAGUGAAAUUAGAGUAAUUAGUGACGUUAACUGCGUUAAAGUAAAUAAGUGCACUAUUUUUGUGAAUAGUGAACAAAGGUGGUACCGCGAUUAUUUCGUCCUUAAU